rnacentral:misc_RNA from 1 species
AGCAAUUCUAAUUCAGCUUUGGGAACUAGUGAAAGGUCUUUCACUGAAUGGGAAUUUCAUCCGGCUUAUUACUAUCAGUUAGCUGGUCACUACCUGAAAGAGAAGACAAAAUCUUUUGAACUUUCACUGUCAAUGUUACAAAAUGCUGAUGAGAUUGAUGGUAGUUCUGAAUCUGUGACGCCUUCAGUUUAUGUGGGUCAGUUUGCUCGAUUACUUGAGCAAGGGGAUGCAUUUGCCGUACAACCUCUUACUGAUGAAGAGUAC